AUUGAACGCUGGCGGCAUGCCUUACACAUGCAAGUCGAACGGCAGCACGGGAGCAAUCCUGGUGGCGAGUGGCGAACGGGUGAGUAAUAUAUCGGAACGUGCCCAGUCGUGGGGAUAACGUAGCGAAAGCUACGCUAAUACCGCAUACGAUCUAUGGAUGAAAGCGGGGGAUCGCAGACCUCGCGCGAUUGGAGCGGCCGAUAUCAGAUUAGGUAGUUGGUGAGGUAAAGGCUCACCAAGCCGACGAUCUGUAGCUGGUCUGAGAGGACGACCAGCCACACUGGGACUGAGACACGGCCCAGACUCCUACGGGAGGCAGCAGUGGGGAAUUUUUGGGACAAUGGGCGCAAGCCUGAUCCAGCAAUGCCGCGUGCAGGAUGAAGGCCUU
rnacentral:rRNA from 1 species